UCGGGGAUCUGGCUCUCAAGAUUCAGAGAAUGGUGCCUCUUCAAUUUUUGAGAACAAUCCUAUUGGGAGUGUUUUCUCGAAUGUGAGUAAAGGUUGGGCAUUUUUGCCAGUCUGCCUUGCCACGGAGCACGGAGGUUAACACACAUUGGGACUUUUUAGUUAUCAAGCAGUGGUGCUGUUCCUUUACCCUUGUGGGUAAUAGUAGGGUAGCUGGACCUUCAAAAUUUAUG
rnacentral:lncRNA from 1 species